rnacentral:rRNA from 1 species
UACGAAGGGGGCUAGCGUUGCUCGGAAUCACUGGGCGUAAAGGGUGCGUAGGCGGGUCUUAAGUCAGGGGUGAAAUCCUGGAGCUCAACUCCAGAACUGCCUUUGAUACUGAAGAUCUUGAGUUCGGGAGAGGUGAGUGGAACUGCGAGUGUAGAGGUGAAAUUCGUAGAUAUUGGGAAGAACACCGAUGGCGAAGGCAGCCAUCUGGACCGACACUGACGCUGAGGCGCGGAAAGCGUGGGGAGCAAACAGG